rnacentral:rRNA from 1 species
CACGUAGGGGGCGAGCGUUGUCCGGAAUCAUUGGGCGUAAAGAGCUCGUAGGCGGCUCAGUAAGUCGGGUGUGAAACCCUCAGGCUCAACCUGGGGACGCCACCCGAUACUGCUGUGGCUAGAGUCCAGUAGGGGAGUGUGGAAUUCCCGGUGUAGCGGUGAAAUGCGCAGAUAUCAGGAGGAACACCGGUGGCGAAGGCGGGUCUCUGGGCCGUAACUGACGCUGAGGAGCGAAAGCGUGGGGAGCGAACAGG